UUAUAUUCUCCACAGGGGGGGAUGAGAACCCCCGACCGGGGUUCGACAACUGGCGCAGCCAGUCGGACAGACCGCGCACGCAGUAAGCGGGCUGCCCCGCAGGGGCGAGCGAAGCGAGUCAAUCCCCCCCUCACCGCCA
rnacentral:sRNA from 1 species